rnacentral:lncRNA from 1 species
CUGGUACGUACAUUUAAAUAUUUUAUUUUAAUUUUUAUGGGUACAUAGUAGGUGUAUGUAUUUGUGGGGUACAUUAAAUGUUUUGAUACAGGCACUCAAUGCAUAAUCAUGACAUCAUGUAAAAUCCCCUCAAGUAUUUAUCCUUUGUGUUACGAACAAUUCCAUUAUACUCUUUUAGUUAUCCCAUUAUACUCUUAACUUUAAAUUUACAAUUAUUAGUGACUGUAGUCACCCUGUUAUGCUAUCAAAUACUAGGUCUUAUUCAUUCUUUCUAUUUCUUUUGUAGCCAUUAACAAUUAAAUCUUAAUCUGGUUUAAAAAUUAAUGAUGUCUGGAUUUGCUUUUUGAAAUAAAGAACAGAAGAUGAGUAGGUGAAUUAAAUGUGGCAUAAGAAUUAUUCUGGGUUAUGAGUAUAUGGAGGUUACUUGUAUUGUGUUCUUUUGUCUGUUUGAAAGUCUCCAUAAUAAAAAGAUUCACUCAUUAAGAGCAUUAAAAAAUCUGAUAUUAAAUAUCUUAGUAAAUUAAUUAUCAACAGUUAUAUUUUCCCAGAAAUUACAAAAAUUAGCAUUGUGGUAUCCUAAAACUAUGUCUUAGCCUUAAAUUUAAAAUUGACUGACUUGAGGAAAAGCAGUUAAGAAGAGGGAGAGUAAAUAAGAAAUUGGUAACUAAACAAAAAUGAAAAUGUUGAGGCACAAAAAUGAAUAUUUUUAGGGUCAAUAUCACAUUAUUUGUUUAGACAGAGCACAUAAAUAUCAUUCGUUUAGUUAUAUGUCCACUUAUGAAAAGGAUGGUAAUCGUGAAAUAUUGCAGAUAAGGUUUCAAGGCAGUGCAGUGAGACUUUUUUUUUUUUUUUUUGUCACGAACUUUACAUUUUUUUUUAAAAGUCUGGGCUUGUGCGGUGGCUCAUGCCUGUAAUCCCAGCACUUUGGGAGGCCAAGGCGGGCGGAUCACCUGAGCGCCAGCAGUUCAAGACCAGCCUGGCCAACAUGGUGAAACCCCGUCUCUACUAAAAAUACAAAAAAUUAGCCAGACGCAGUGGUGCUCACCUGUGGUCCCAGCUGCUCGGGAGGCUGAGGCGGGAGAAUUGCUUGAACCUGGGAGAUGGAGGUUGCGGUGAGCCAAGAUCACGCCACUGCACUCCAGGUGGGCAACAGAGCGAGACUUCGACUCAAAAAAAAAAAGUCUGAAGGUGUGUAUUUUGAGUGAGUCUUUUUUUGUACUUGUGUGUGUAACUAUAUGGAACACGAUCUAUGCUAAAUCAAACCUUUCCUUAAACACUCCACAGUUUUUAUAGGAGAAUCUACCAGUGACUGACAUAUUUCCUCCUGUUGUAUAUUGCCCAUCCAUUUUAUUUUCUAGGAUAAGAUGCAUUUUUUUUUCCAACAAAUUCAAGUAUGUUGUCUGGUAUUUCUUAAGUUGGAGGUGGGGGGUUUCUUAGAGACAUAGUUAGAUAUUUGAUUAACUGUGAUCCCAGCUAAGAAGCUCCUGAAUGACUCUUUUCUAUUUCUCACAUCAUUGGAGCUGCCUUCAUUGUGAAGUGUAUAGAGAACCCUUGGGGAAACUUUGAAGAGUUAGGAUGGUUAUCUGAGUGCAUAAAGUUAGUUUGCCAAUGGGCAUCUUUAAUAGUUAAGUUUCAGAUAUUUGUGGUGGGGAAUGGUGGGCAGUCUGUGAAGCUAAGUGAGUUUUGGUGCCUUCCAGCUUAUUUUCAUUUCUCAACAGUUGGCAUGGUUACUCUUCUAAAACCUCAUAGAAGACUAAAGACAUGUAGAGUAUGAGUCCUUUAAGGUGCUCCAUGGUUAGCGGAGGUUUUGAUUAACAUAUUAGCUGGAUUAUUCCUGUGAGGAGAAACUUCUCCAUGAUUUGGUGGUAUAUUUCCUAAAGUUAAAUUAGGACAAAUACUUGAUUCUUGCUCUUAUUUACUAGUUUUCAGACUCAUGAGCUGCUUCACUAAUAUCCUGAAACUGAUUUUGUUUUCUUUUUUAAAAAAAUGAACUCAGAUUUGAACAUUUUAGAUGUGCUUCAUUUCAUUGCAUUUAUGCAUUGUAUUAGUCUGUUUUCAUACUGCUAUAAAGAACUGCCUGAGACUGGGUAAUUUACAAAGGAAAGAGGCUUAAUUGACUCACAGUUCAGCAUGGCUGGGGAGGCCUCAGGAACUUAACAAUCUUGGUGGAAGACAAAGAGGGGAAGCAGGGCACCUUCUUCACAUGGUGGCAGGAAGGAGAAGUGCCCAGUGAAGGGAGGAAGAGCCCCUUAUAAAACCAUCAGAUCUCCUGAGAACUGAUUAUCACAAGAACAGCUGGGGAAACUGCUCCCAUGAUUCAGUUAUCUCCACCUGGUCUGUCCCUUGGCACAUGGGGAUUAUGGGGAUUACAAUUCAAGAUGAGAUUUGGAUGGGGACACAAAGCCUAAUUAUAUCAUGCAUGUUUAGAUUUUCUUGUCUUUGGCCAGUGGGAACCUCUUCAGGUUUGCCCCGAGUCUUGAUUUUGAUAGUUUCUCUGCUUCCUGGCAUAACAAGGUGAUCAAAACUCCUCUUGUGCAAUUCAUGGCACAAACUUGAAAUUAGCCAUUUGUCCAAGAAGCUCUGAUUCCUUUGAAAAGGAAAUUGUUUUUCAAUCCUGUAAUCUGUAUUCAUUGCUGCUGGGGUUCUUUGUUUCCAGGCCUCUUCAGUGGAUAGUGCUAGGAAAUACACACACACAUAGUGCUAGGAAAUACACAUUUAAGAUUAAAACAUGAGUUCAUAGUGUUAAGUCCAGUUGAAAUUCAUUUUAGGGCUACAGGAUUUAUAUUUAUAUUUAUAUUUAUUUGAGACGGAGUCUCGCUCUGUUGCCCAGGUUGGAGUGCAAUGGUGCGAUCUCAGCACACUGCAUCCUCCACCUCCUGGGUUCAAACAGUUCUCCUGCCGUAGCCUUCCGAGUAGCUGGGAUUACAGGCGCCCACCACCAUGCCCAGCUAAUAUGUUGUAUUUUUAGUAGAGACGGGGUUUCACCAUGUUCACCAGGCUAGUCUUGAACUCCAGGUCUACAGGAUUUUUAAUGUAACCUUUUCUCUCUUAACAACUUUCCUCCUCCUCCCUACUGAAAAAAAAAAAAAAAAUCCAAGUCCUCAAGGCAUUAACAUUGACUUUUUAUCCCACGGUAUGCACUAACACUUUUGUAAUUAUUAUCAACACUGCCGCCAACAGUGUGGUUACUGAAAAUAAGAAAAAUGAGGAUUGCAAGGAUUGAGCCAAUUUUCUGUGUUAUAGUCAUUCGAAAUAGUUACUCUUUGGAUUGUUAUACCACCAAUUUGAUAUAAAAUUAUGGUUACUUUAUUUUGGUUUUCAGAGAUUUCAUGUAACAUUUUGGUUUUGUUACACUAUUAUAUAAAAUAUUUACAUGGUUUGAAAGUAAAAUCUAUAAGACAGAUUAAACUCAGAGCAGUGUUUUCCUAUUUCACUUUGUUCUGUCUCUCCCUCCUAAUUGGUAGCCCUUUUAUUUUGUUUUUGAGACAGGUGCAGGCUCUGUUGCCCAGGCUGGACCGCAGUGGCGCAAUCUCGGCUCACUGCAACCUCUGGCCCAGGCUCAAGCCAUCGUCUCAUCUUAGCCUCUUGAGUAGCUGGGACUAAGGUGCGUGCCAGCGUCCAUGGCUAAUUUUUUUUAUUUUUUGUAGAGAUGGGGUUUUGCCAUAUUGCCCAGGCUGGUUUCUAACUCCUGAGAUAAGUGAUCUGCCUACGCUGGCCUCUCAAACUGCUGGGAUUACAGGUGUGAGCCACCACACCUGGCCUGGUAGCCCUCUUUUUUUUUUUUUUUUAAAAACCUUAUGGUUUAUCUUUUCAAAUGCAUAUAUAGGGCCAGGUGUUGUGGCUCAUGCCUGUAAUCCCAGCACUUUGGGAGGCUGAGGUGUGUGGAUCACGAGGUCAGGAGUUCGAGACCAGCCUGACCAACAUGGUGAGACCCCGUCUCUACUAAAAAUAAAAAAUUAACCAGGCGUGGUGGCGGGCACCUGUAAAUCCCAGCUACUCGGGAGACUGAGGCAGGAGAAUUGCUUGAACCCAGGAGGCAGAGGUUGUAGUGAGCCGAGAUCACGCCACUGUGCUCUAGCCUGGGCGACAGAGAAAGACUCCGUCUUGAGAAAAAAAAAAUGCAUAUAUAUGUAUUUUUUUCCCUUCCUAUCCCUUGUGUCCUUCCUUAGAUGAAGCUAAGGACACUCUUUAAGGGAUCCUUGCAUUGGCAUUAGGUAGAAGGUUGGAUUCUGUAACUAUUGGUGCCUUGUCUUAAAGUGUUAUUUUUAAAUUUUAGAGUUGUGUAACCAUCACCACUAUCUGAUUUUAGAACACUUUCAUCCCCCUAAAAGGUUCCAUUGUGCCCAUUUACUGUUAAUGACUGCUCCACUCUCAGCCCUAGGCAACCACUGUUUUUCUGCUUUCCUAUCAUUUCUGGGCAUUUUAUAUAAAUGGAAUUAUGCAAUAAUGUACUCUUGUAUCUGCUUCUUUCACUUAGCAAAUGUUUUGGAAGUUCAUCCAUGUUGUGGCAUGUACCAAUACUUUAUUCCUUUAAAUUGCUGAACUCCAUUGCAUGAAUAUACAUUUUGUUUAUCUACUCACCAAUUAAUGGACAUUUGGAUUGUGUCUAAUUUUUGGCCAUUAGGAAUCAUGCUGCUGUGCACAUUCACAUACGUUUUUCUGUGUGGAUAUGUUUUUAUUUCUCUUUAGGUAGGUUCCUAGGAGUAGAAUUUUGCUGGUUUCUAUGGUAAAUUUGUGUCUUAACUUUUUAAGAAACUACCAAACUGUAUUUCAGUGUGAUUGUUGUACCUGUUUUACAUUUUACGAGCAGUAUAUAAGGGUUCCAGUUUCUUCACAUCUUUGCCAACUUUUGGCAUUGUUGUUUUGAAUUUAGCCAUUCUAAUGGGUGGGCAGUAGUGUGCCACAGUUUUACUUUGACUAAUAAUAUUGAGCAUAUUUUCAUGUGCUUAUGGUCAUUCAUUUUACUUUAUUUUUUGAGAUGGAACCUUUGCUCUGUCGUCAGGCUGGAGUGCAGUGGCGCUCUCUUGGCUCACUGCAACCUCCGCCUCCCGGGUUCAAGUGAUUCCCCUGCCUCAGCCUCCCGAGUAGCUGGGAUUACAGGCAUGCACCACCAUGCCUGGCUAAUUUUUUGUAUUUUAGUAGAGAUGGGGUUUCACCGUGUCGGCCAGGAUCGUCUCGAUCUCCUGACCUCGUGAUCUGCCCAUCUUGUCCUCCUAAAGUGCUGGGAUUACUGGUGUGAGCCACUGUGCCCGGCUGGUCAUUCAUAUAUUUUCUUUGGUGAAAUGUUUAUUCAGAUUUUUGCUUUUAAAAUUAUAUUGUCAUUUUACCGAUUUGAAUUUUUUUUUUUUUAAUUGAGAUGGAGGCUUGCUGUGUCUCCCAGGCUGGAGUGCAAUGGCAUGGUCUCGGCUCGCUGCACCUCCGCCUCCUGAGUUCAAGCGAUUCUCCUGCCUCAGCCUCCUGAGUAGCUGGGACUACAGGUGCAUGCCACCACAGCCAGCUAAUUUUUGUAUUUUUAGUGGAGAUGGGGUUUUACUGUGUUGGCCAGGCUGGUCUCGAACUCCUGAACUGCCCGCCUCGGCCUUCCGAAGUGCUGGGAGUGAGCCCCCACGCCUGGCUUGCAUUGUUUUUUUUUUUUUAAUUGUGAUUUGCAAAUAUUUUCUCUCAGUCUGUGGUUUAUUUUUGAUCUCCCUCCCUCCC